GACGAACGCUGGCGGCGUGCCUAAUACAUGCAAGUCGUGCGGACCUUUUAAAAGCUUGCUUUUAAAAGGUUAGCGGCGGACGGGUGAGUAACACGUGGGCAACCUGCCUGUAGACUGGGAUAACGCCGGGAAACCGGGGCUAAUACCAGAUCGUUUUUUCCUCCGCAUGGAGGAAAAAGGAAAGGCGGCUUCGGCUGCCACUUACAGAUGGGCCCGCGGCGCAUUAGCUAGUUGGCGGGGUAACGGCCCACCAAGGCAACGAUGCGUAGCCGACCUGAGAGGGUGAUCGGCCACAUUGGGACUGAGACACGGCCCAAACUCCUACGGGAGGCAGCAGUAGGGAAUCUUCCGCAAUGGACGAAAGUCUGACGGAGCAACGCCGCGUGAGUGAAGAAGGCCUUCGGGUCGUAAAACUCUGUUGCCGGGGAAGAACAAGUGCCGUUCGAACAGGGCGGCGCCUUGACGGUACCCGGCCAGAAAGCCACGGCUAACUACGUG
rnacentral:rRNA from 1 species